CAAAAUAGUCAGGAAAGUUAUGAAGUAACAUCAUAUAAUACUUUAUCCCCAACAAUAUUAAAUGUGAUUACAAUUUUACAGAAUAUUCAAAUCAAAAUGUUAUAUAAGACAAAUUAUUAUUCUUGCUUUUACAUCUCCUUAGAAGGAGAAACAUUCAAUUGUUUUAAAAAUGUUCUAUUUAUUUUUCAGAAAUGAGGUGUUGCCUUCUUGCCCAGGCUAGUAUGCAGUGGCACAAUCAUAGCUCACUGCAGCCUUGAAUUCUUGGGCUCAAGUGAUCUUCCUGCCCCAAGCCUCCCAAGUAGCUGGGACCACAGGCACGUGCCACCAUGCCUGGCUGAUUUUUUUUUUUUUUUAAUGUUUUGUAGAGACAGGAUCUCAGUAUGUUGCGCAGGCUGGUCUUUAAUUCCUGGGCUCAAGUGAUCCUCCCAUAGAUUUGUCUGUGUUUUCUCUAAAUAGGUUAUAAAUACCUUGAGGGAGGAAUCACAAAUAACUAAAAGAAACUUUUGUAGAGACUAUCAGAGUAUUAUUUCCUUGUGGACACAGUAAAUGUAUGAUGAUGAGAAAUCAUAAUAAACUACAACAUUUUCUCCAA
rnacentral:lncRNA from 1 species